GGGGCCGUAGCUCAGUUGGGAGAGCGCAUGCAUGGCAUGCAUGAGGUCCGGGGUUCGAAUCCCCGCGGCUCCA
rnacentral:tRNA from 1 species